rnacentral:rRNA from 1 species
AUUUACUGAGAACUGUAUUAUUAUUUGACGUUUGAAGGAUGUUCCCAUGUUAUAAGGAUGGACAUUGCAAAUGUUAACCGAGUCAUAAUCAAGUUUAGGCCUGGUAUCCUAUUAUUAUUUACCAAAAUGAAUUCCGAAUUAAUAUUGCAACAUAGACCUAAAAAAUCUAUAAAACAACUUUUAACAACGGAUCUCUUGGUUCUCGCAUCUAUGGAGAACGAUAUCAUAGUGCUAUAACUAGUGAGAAUUGCAUAUUCAGUGAAUCAUCGAGUCUUUUAACGCAACUUGCGCUCAUUGGUAUUCCAAUGAGCACGCCUGUUUCAGUAUCAAAACAGACCCUCUAUUCCACUUUUGGUGGAUAGGAUUAUUGGCGGCCUCGCCAUCUGUAUAUAUCUUGAACCCCUUGAAAUUUACUAAGGCCUGAACUUGUUUAAGGCCUGAACUUUUUUUUAACUAAAGGAAAGCUCUAGUCUUGACUUUGAUGGGGCCUCCCAAUAAAUCUCUUUAAAUUUGAUCUGAAUCACGUGGGAUACCCGCUAACUUCCCAUAUAGUAGCGGAGGA